GCCUCCGCAGCUGGAAGGGAGCCUUCCAGGACGGACUGGAAGAGGCCUGGAGGGGAAGGCGAAGGCUCAGCAACUGCAUGUUUAACUUCAUAAGAAGCUGCCAAAUUGUUUUCCAAGAUGGUUGUACCAUUUUGCAUUCCCACCAGCAGCGCUUGAGACUUUCAGUUACUGGAACUUGCCAAUGUUUGGUGCUAUCAGUCUUUCCAAUUGACAUUGGGAAAAACCUACAGCUAGUAUCACACUUGAUGGAAAAGAGCAAAUGCUUUCCUACCCUGAAGGUGGGAACGAGCAAGGAUAACUGUUGCCACCACUGCUGUUCAACAUUGUACCACAGGGUCUAGCCACGCUAAUAGAAGAAGGUAAACUUUAAAAGGCAUACACAUUGGAAAGAAAGAAGUAAAACUGCCA
rnacentral:lncRNA from 1 species